GGUAAUUUCGGUUUUUUUUUCUUUACGUAUAUACAUUACACGUGAGGAUACAGAACAUUCGAGAUAUAGAAAUAAGAAAAUAUCAUCUCUUUCUUCUCUAUUUCUCUUCAUGUCAAACUAGGUUAUACUUCAUCUCUGUUUUGCUCCAAUGGUGAGACUUGGUUGCUCUAACAUGAUAUCAGAGCCGGAAUCUAGCUUGCUCACGAUCUCCACUUUCGAUUGAUGUUACCCUCGUCAAUUUUCUCUGAAGAAUUUACGAUGCCUCGUACGGGUCGCUCGCCGGAAAAUUAGGAUUUUUUCUCUUUUCACCUUCAAUCAAGCUGCUUCUUCUUCUCUGUGUGGCUAGGACACUCAUCUUCAUAGAUUCUGCAGAAGACCUUACUUCUUUAGGUUUUGAAAGAAGACGGUACAAUUUCUUCAUCAUUUUCUCUGUUUCUAUUGUGUUUAGUUGUAGAAAUUCUGUGCAAAGUAAAAAAAAUCUAUUUAGGUGUAUAACUGUAGAAUUCAACAUAAUGGGAAGUACUCCUGGUUUGACAUCUACUAGUGUUCCUAGUACUCAAAGUACUGAUGGUUUCACUAUCUUCUCUAUUGAUCCUUUACACCCCUUUUAUGUUCAUCCAUCAGAUAACCUUAAUACUCCUAUAGUAUCUCUUCCCUUCGAUGGUCGUGGUUUUGUAAUAUGGCAAAAGGAUAUGCUAGUUGCACUUCAGCCAAAAAUAAACUCGGGUGAUAACGGGAAGAAAUCCUCAACCAGAACCAAACUCUCCUUAUUAUUCUGCUUGGGAGAGAUGCAAUGACAUGCUCAUUGUAUGGAUGACCAAUUCUUUAACUAGAGAGAUUUCAAUUAGUCCUAUAGGAUUCAAUACUGCUAAAGAUAUUUGGAAAGACAUAAAUGAAAGGUUUGGUCAAUCCAAUGGGUCAAAGUAUAUUCAAAUUCAAAGGGAAGUUAGUGUUGCUACCCAGGGAUCCUCAGACAUAGCAACAUACAUUACUAGGAUGAAAGGGUUAUGGGAUGAACUCAAUGCUACUUAUAUGGGCUCAACGUGCACUUGUGGGGCUCUGCCUAAAUUCAUAGAAGAUCAACAACGCUUUCAGUUUCUUAGUGGACUAAAUGACACAUACUCCUCAUGUAAAACCAACAUUACGAUGAUGUCUCCCUAUCCUUACAUAAGCAAAGCAUAUUCCAUGCUUCAGCAUGAUGAACAUCAGAAGGAGAAUACCAAUCACACUUCCAACUUCUCAGCUUCUUUUUCUGCGUCUAUUGGACAGAGUUUCAACAAUAGGUCUUUCUCUCAAAAAGUUCAUUUUGAUUCAAAGAAGCAAUCUUCAUCUUCUGUUUUUUGUAAAUACUGCAAGAAGCAGGGUCACACUAUUGACAAAUGCUACAAACUUCAAGGCUUUCCCUCUGGUUUUAAGUUCACCAAGAGCAGAAAGGGAUCAACUUCUUGUGUACAGACUACAAUCACUGCUCCAGAUCCUGAUGAUCAAAAUUCUGCUCCUCAUGGUUUCACUAAAGAGCAGUAUCACCAUCUUCUAAGUCUUCUUCAUACACGUCACACCUAAACAACAUACACCUUGUUAUCGUGUUCCUGGCUUCACUCGAUAAUUUUUUGGUGAAAAUGCUGCUUUUGCUAGCUUUGCAGGUGUGUUCUGUUCUAUAGUCAGUAGUACUGAUUUUCAUAUUUGUGGAUUACCAAAAUUGGAUGUAGACUCUUGGAUUUUAGAUUCUGGGGCAACUAAUCACAUGACAUCACACAAACACUUCCUUCAAAAUCUUAAACCAUUAUUUGUUCCUUUCCUAAUUACUCUACCUAAUGGCUACAAAUUAAAGGUUAUAUCUACUGGUUCUUUACACCUAAGACAUGAUAUAAUUUUAUACAAUGUACUCCUUGUACCUUCAUUUCACUUCAAUUUUAUAUCUAUUCACAAAUUGAUUGUCCAACUUGACUGCUUUGCAAUUCUCACCAAAUCUGCUUGUUUUCUACAGGCCCAUUCUCUGAAGAGGCCAUUGGAAAUUGGUAGAGCUGCUAAAGGAUUAUACUUCUUGCAUGUAGAAAAUUCAUCAAAUUAGCCUGUCCUGCUGUUCCUUCUUUUAGUACAACUGAUUCUAGUAUUUCAACUGUUGCUCCUGUCUGUACUUCAUUUUAUUCUGACAAUGUAACAUCUUGUCCUGCUAUCCAUGAUUCCUAUAAAAUUCCUAAUGUAUCAUGUAAUGAUUCACCUAUGGAAAUAAAAUUGAUCUUUUUUGGCAUCAAUGACUAGGCCACAUGUCUUUCAAUAAGAU
rnacentral:lncRNA from 1 species